UGUGUAGUAUGAUGUCCGGUGGACAAGUGCGGUGACAUUUUUCCAUACAUUGUUGGAGAGGGUUGGUUACUUAUCUCAGGCAUAUAUUUUCCAUCUUUGUUGUAAUCUUUAAUUCUAUUAACGCUUUUAUACUCAUACUCAAUGCCUGUUUUGGCUCUACUAGGGGUAGGUAGUUUUUCUAGGAUUUCAUCUAGGUCAGUUCCUUUAAAUAACAUAACAACAUGCUUCUUUAGAUUCUCAAGAUGAGAGUUCAAUUCAGUUACCUCUUCAUUCAGCUUAGAUAUUUCUG
rnacentral:lncRNA from 1 species